rnacentral:rRNA from 1 species
AGCAGCCGCGGUAAUUCCAGCUCCAAUAGCGUAUAUUAAAGUUGCUGCAGUUAAAAAGCUCGUAGUUGAAUUUCGGGACCAAUAUGUCGGUCGUGCUUCGGUACGUACUGUCAUUAUUGGUUUCUCCCUUCUGAAGAACCUUGAUGUCAUUAAUUUGGUGUCUUGGGGAAUCAGGACUGUUACUUUGAAAAAAUUAGAGUGUUUAAAGCAGGCUCGCGCUUGAAUACAUUAGCAUGGAAUAAUGAAAUAGGACGUUUGAUUCUAUUUUGUUGGUUUCUAGGAUCGACGUAAUGAUUAAUAGGGAUAGUUGGGGGCAUUAGUAUUCAAUUGUCAGAGGUGAAAUUCUUGGAUUUAUUGAAGACUAACUACUGCGAAAGCAUUUGCCAAGGAUGUUUUCAUUAAUCAAGAACGAAAGUUAGGGGAUCGAAGACGAUCAGAUACCGUCGUAGUCUUAACCAUAAACUAUGCCGACUAGGGAUCGGA